rnacentral:tRNA from 1 species
GCCUGGCUGGUUCAGUUGGUGGAGCAUGCGGCUCUUAAUCUCAGGGUUAUGAGUUCAAGCCCCAUGUUGGGUG